AGAGUUUGAUCAUGGCUCAGGAUGAACGCUAGCUACAGGCUUAACACAUGCAAGUCGAGGGGAAACGAUAUUGGAAGCUUGCUUCCGAUAGGCGUCGACCGGCGCACGGGUGAGUAACGCGUAUCCAACCUGCCCACCACUUGGGGGAUAACCUUGCGAAAGUAAGACUAAUACCCAAUGACGUCUCUAGAAGACAUCUGAAAGAGAUUAAAGAUUUAUCGGUGAUAGGAUGGGGAUGCGUCUGAUUAGCUUGUUGGCGGGUAACGGCCACCAAGGCUACGAUCAGUAGGGGGUUCUGAGAGGAACGGUCCCCACAUUGGAACUGAGACACGGUCCAAACUCCUACGGGAGGGA
rnacentral:rRNA from 1 species